rnacentral:rRNA from 1 species
GGAUGCGAUCAUACCAGCACUAAAGCACCGGAUCCCAUCAGAACUCCGAAGUUAAGCGUGCUUGGGCGAGAGUAGUACUAGGAUGGGUAACCUCUUGGGAAGUCCUCAUGUUGCAUUCC